rnacentral:tRNA from 1 species
UCCGGGAUAGCUCAGUUGGCAGAGCGACGGACUGUUAAUCCGUUGGUCGCAGGUUCGAGCCCUGCUCCCGGAGCCA